UGCCUGCAAAGGGCUCAGUGCAAGUUGCCCCGCCCCUACCCCACCCCAUGUGUGUGGCUUGUGCUAGAGAAAUCAGUGGGUUCCUUUCUACCCUUCUCUUUCUCCAAGAGAAGAAAGCUGUGUGUGUUCAAAGGUGGAAGUCACUUCUCCAUGUUGCUGAAGUCUCUGUUAAAGCUCAUGGGAGAAGAAUGUAUUCAGUGUGCAGUGUAGAAAUGUAUCUGCAGGAGAUAAUGCCCGCGGAUGGCGGGAGUCUUGGUGAGAGGUAAGGGAGGGGUGGCAACGGAGUUGAUGGUCCUCAUGAUGAGAUAGUGAUGCUGAGAAAGUGGCGGUGAUGUCAGAAGUGAUGGCGAUGAUGGACACCACGACGGUGCUGAUGGUGAAGGUGAUUCAGGCGACGGCGGAGGCAGAGGUGGAAGUGAGAGAGACCAUGACAGAGACAGUGAUGGCGUGAACGUGAGGGUGGUGGUGGUGACACAGGCUGUGUUACAGGUGGCAAUGUUUAUGUUGUCCAGGAUGGUAGAUAUAUCACGCCUGAUUUGGAGUCCCGGUGAGAUGUGGUGAUUUGCAAUCAGGACUACCUUCACUACCAUUCACUCCAGUAGAUGAAGGUGCAAAGGAGGCAAUAAAGCAGAGUAGAAGGCUCCUUUAUGAUGAAUGGUUGCUGUGGCUCUACAUCAUAACAGAGAUCAUUAGACUUCAUCAUCACUGAUUGAACACAUAUGUUUACCUUGGUGACCUCCAGAAGCCCCACUAAAAUGUCAUUAAUGGUAUUUUUAAAGAAGGCACAGACCCACAAAGAACAAGAGAAGGGGAGAGGAAGCAGCAGCAGACAGGAGAAGCUAAUAAUCUAGAAAUCGGGAAGUAGAUGGAUGAGUGGAACCUGACUUAGCAGACCACAGAAAACUGAAAACUCAGCCUGCAAGGGUGUAGGGCUGGAGGGCAGGAGCCAACAGGUAGCACAAUACUUCUAGACACAGAAUCAAAGAAAGACCUGGGUUUUGGAGGUACCAGUUACUUCUGAAGGCAAGGAUUCAGAAUGAGGUUGGAAAAUUGGAGAGUUGCUCGCAUGUUUUGAAAAGAAUCAGAACUUUCCCAUCCCAGAUGUAUUCCUCUACCCUGUGCAUCUAGGUAAUCAUCACCUUCUGUGCUGGCACAAAGCAGAUUUAUGCUCUGGGCUACAGAACCAAGAAGUUUCUGGACACAGAGGCACCAGGCCCAGCUGAGGGAGGGCUGAGGAGCCAACCUGAAAACACGGGGAUUAAGGAUGAGCCUGUUUCCUGAAAGGAUCACUGUGGCAGUAAGAGGAGAACGUGACGAGCGGUGCACUGUUCCUGUGUUGGUCAGCUUGGGUGCCGCCUGGGGCCCAGCACCCCCAGCCCCACAGUACCCCAGCCGCUGCCCUGGAGAAUCUGAUGACUGGGGCCCUGGCCAUGCCUGGUGAGAGCCUUCCAAGGAGGGUGGAGUGAAGAACCCGUCCUCCCCACCUGUCCAUCGCUCUCGGACCUCAGCAUGCUGGAAGGAGACUCACACAUGUCAACCAGAGAUCCAGAAGUCAGGUCCUCGCGAUUCUGGGUCUCUGGUUCUGACAUAGCAACCCAAGCCUACCAGCAACGGAAGGGCAGAAUCCCCUGCCCUGGCACCAAGCUCAGUUCAGACCCCAGCGGGGAGAGGGGUGACAGAGGUGCUUUGGAGAUGCUGAUAACCCUGUUCCCUCUUGUGGAGACUGACGGAGGCCACCUCCGGACACCGACUCUGUGAGAAAGGGAGAAGGGUGGCGGAUCAGGCCAAGGGAGUGACUCGAGCGGAUCAAAGGAAACUGUCUGAGGGGACAGAAAGCAAGAAAGGCCUUGGGAACGGGGCUCAAGGACAGAAAUGGCUCACUUUGAAGAUGGGAAGGCCCUGAGGUGGCAGAGGGGGUGGCCUGUGGCAGGGCAGUGCAGGGAGGUUUGGAGGCUGGCUUGUCCACAUGGCGACCCCAAGCUGGGGACGGUGCCAAGAAGGGCCAGUUGGGGGCUGGCGCUGUGGCACAGCGGGUUAACGCCCUGGCCUGAAGUGCCGGCAUCCCAUAUAGGCACUGGUUCUAGUACCAGCUGCUUCACUUCUGAUCCAGCUCUCUGCUGUGGUCUGGGAAAGCAGUAAGAAGAUGGCCACAUCCUUGGGCCCCUGCACCCGCGUGGCGGACCUGGAAGAAGCUCCUGGCUCCUGGCUUUGGAUCGGCGCAGCUCUGGCAGUUGCGGCCAACUGGGGAGUGAACCAUCGGAUAGAAGACCUCUCUCUCUCUCUCUCUCUCUCUCUGCCUCUCCUCUCUCUGUAUGACUCUGACAUUCAAAUAAAAAAAUAAAUAAAUCUUAAAAAAAAAAAAUGGGCCAAAGUGCUGCUGGGCCUUGGGUCCCCAGGGAGGAGGCAGCCUGUGGGACAGCAGUGGGUCCUUCAAACCCCAAGUCUCAGUAGCCCCUUCAGCUGGGGCCCCACAGUCACCCCUGGGUAGACCACUGCAGCGGCC